rnacentral:sRNA from 1 species
GGUUUUGUCCAAACAUCCGGGCUUCUCCUUUUUGUGUUCCGGCCGAUCCCACCUCUCCUCGACCCUGGACGUCUACCUCCCGGAGGCCCAGAUCUUGCCCACUCCGCGCGCGGGGCUAGCGCGGGCUUCAGCGACGGGAGCCCUCAAGGGACAUGGCAACUACAGCGGCGCCGGCGGGCGGCGCCCGAAAUGGAGCUGGCCCGGAAUGGGGAGGGUUCGAAGAAAACAUCCAGGGCGGAGGCUCAGCUGUGAUUGACAUGGAGAACAUGGAUGAUACCUCAGGCUCUAGCUUCGAGGAUAUGGGUGAGCUGCAUCAGCGCCUGCGCGAGGAAGAAGUAGACGCUGAUGCAGCUGAUGCAGCUGCUGCUGAAGAGGAGGAUGGAGAGUUCCUGGGCAUGAAGGGCUUUAAGGGACAGCUGAGCCGGCAGGUGGCAGAUCAGAUGUGGCAGGCUGGGAAAAGACAAGCCUCCAGGGCCUUCAGCUUGUACGCCAACAUCGACAUCCUCAGACCCUACUUUGAUGUGGAGCCUGCUCAGGUGCGAAGCAGGUGAGGAGCCUUCUCUUGAAGAAGCUUCCCUCCUAACACCUAGACCUUCGUGCACACU